rnacentral:tRNA from 1 species
GGUUAGUUGAUUAAUAGGAGAGAUUGGGUCUCCGGUUUGUGUCAAUAGACCC